rnacentral:tRNA from 1 species
GCGGGAAUAGCUCAGCUGGUUAGAGCAUCAGCCUUCCAAGCUGAGGGUCGCGGGUUCGAAUCCCGUUUCCCGCUCCA